CAGUCGCCACGGUAAUACAUAGGUGGCAAGCGUUGUCCGGAAUUAUUGGGCGUAAAGGGCUCGCAGGCGGUUUCUUAAGUCUGAUGUGAAAGCCCCCGGCUCAACCGGGGAGGGUCAUUGGAAACUGGGAAACUUGAGUGCAGAAGAGGAGAGUGGAAUUCCACGUGUAGCGGUGAAAUGCGUAGAGGUGUGGAGGAACACCAGUGGCGAAGGCGACUCUCUGGUCUGUAACUGAUGCUGAGGAGCGAAAGCGUGGGGAGCGAACAGGAUUAGAUACCCCUGUAGUCCCUGUCUCUUAUAC
rnacentral:rRNA from 1 species